rnacentral:misc_RNA from 1 species
GAACUGCGAUAAGCAGUGUGAAUUGCAGACUUCAGAGAAUCACUAGAUUACUGAACGCAAAUGGCACUCCAGAGCCUAUCUGGAGUAUGUUCAUUUCAGUGGCCUUAACUACUGUUGAACUUCUUUUUGAAGCUUCAACGUGAGUGAAUGUUAUGCGUAUGCAUGACAUUUUAAGUGUAGCACAGAUAUGGUCUCAUGAGAAAAAGGGAAUCCCGUAUUCUCUAUGAGAUACCUCUGUGUCUUUUCUAUUGGUCCUGAAAUUGAGCAAGGAUACCCGCUGAACUUAA